UUAUGACUGAGACCGACAGCAGGCACAAUCUCAUCACUCCGUUGCCGGAUCUGAUCGACAUGCCUUUGUAAUAUUCUACCAUUAGGAAUUUGAACUUUGUAUGACAAAAGUCCUGUGGCCACAAGUACUUUUGCAGGUAUCCAUUUAGGCCCAGAAACAUAAUUCCUGACAUAGACAGCACUGUCAGGUGCAAAUACUCUC